CAGUCGCCACGGUAACACGGAGGAUCCAAGCGUUAUCCGGAAUCAUUGGGUUUAAAGGGUCCGUAGGCGGUCUUGUAAGUCAGUGGUGAAAGCCCAUCGCUCAACGGUGGAACGGCCAUUGAUACUGCAGGACUUGAAUUAUUGGGAAGUAACUAGAAUAUGUAGUGUAGCGGUGAAAUGCUUAGAGAUUACAUGGAAUACCAAUUGCGAAGGCAGGUUACUACCAAUUGAUUGACGCUGAUGGACGAAAGCGUGGGUAGCGAACAGGAUUAGAUACCCCCGUAGUCCCUGUCUCUUAUAA
rnacentral:rRNA from 1 species